rnacentral:tRNA from 1 species
GCACCUCGCUUACACCGAGGGGGUGUCUGUGAAACCCAGACCAUUUUGA